AAGUCGUAACAAGGUUUCCGUAGGUGAACCUGCGGAAGGAUCAUUAACACUAAAACAAAAUGAGAAAAAAAAUCGUGGUUUAAUUCACGUUUUUUCUCUAUCCAAACUUACCCAAACUUUUUAUUGAAAGUGCUGGUUUGAUUUUCGCAAGAAAAUCUAAACUUUUUAUUUUUCCAUUAUUUUCAUUCAAAACCCCAAAUCUUUCUUUGCUAAUGCAAAUGACAAUUACAAAAAACAAAUAACUACUUUUAAUGUAACCAAACAACUCUUAGCAACGGAUAUCUUGGCUCUC
rnacentral:misc_RNA from 1 species